rnacentral:rRNA from 1 species
UACAGAGGUGGCAAGCGUUGUUCGGAAUUACUGGGCGUAAAGGGCGCGUAGGCGGCCUACUAAGUCGAACGUGAAAUCCCUGGGCUCAACCCAGGAACUGCGUCCGAUACUGGAAGGCUUGAAUCCGGGAGAGGGAUGCGGAAUUCCAGGUGUAGCGGUGAAAUGCGUAGAUAUCUGGAGGAACACCGGUGGCGAAGGCGGCAUCCUGGACCGGUAUUGACGCUGAGGCGCGAAAGCCAGGGGAGCAAACGGG